rnacentral:rRNA from 1 species
UACGUAGGGUGCAAGCGUUAAUCGGAAUUACUGGGCGUAAAGCGUGCGCAGGCGGUUUUGUAAGUCUGACGUGAAAUCCCCGGGCUCAACCUGGGAAUUGCGUUGGAGACUGCAAGGCUAGAAUCUGGCAGAGGGGGGUGAGAAUUCCACGUGUAGCAGUGAAAUGCGUAGAGAUGUGGAGGAACACCGAUGGGCGAAGGCAGCCCCCUGGGUCAAGAUUGACGCUCCAUGCACGAAAGCGUGGG